ensembl:lncRNA
AGUUUAUGCUACUUAAAAAUACCUCUGUCUAAAGAGUAAAAGGUAAUUUGUCUAACUCAAUAUAGUUUGUUGGCUGAACGUAAUGUUAUUAGAAGUUGUCAUAACGCAAAUAUAUUGAUGCAAACUGUUGCGUUGAUUUUUUUUGUUUGAACUACACAAUAUUUUUUAGAGUGUAAGCCUUCCAUGGUUAAUAAAGGCAAAGGAAACUCCUGAUAUAAAUGGGCAUCCAUUAACAGGAUCGUCAGAGCAUUAUGUGCUCUAUGAUAAACUGCACGAGGGAAAUACAAAGGAUGAUAAAGAUGUACUAAGGAGGAUUGAGCUCGUUCCUGAACUUGCUGGCCGUAUCAACAGUCAAGUGGUUGAACAAUUUUUCUCACAAAUGGAAAAAAACAACUAUUUCUUAAACAUGAUGAAGCCAAGUACCCAGAUUUUCUUGAUCAGAAACAUAAUCCAUCACAGAAACUCCAUCGUAAACACGGCAAGAAUGGAUAAGAUUAAGAAGAGUCUGGACGUUGAGCAUGUUACAUUGAACAAACAUGGACAAGCAGUCAUUGGUACUUCCAAUGAAAACGACAGGUUGGCGAAUGUGGCAGAAGUUAACAUGAACAUGUGUGGACACCAGUGUGAGGCUCUCACUCAAAUAGCAAACCUCAGGCCCUGCAGAGAUUCAUGGACACUGAAGGGACAUCUCCUUCAAGUACAAAUGGUACGAUAG